rnacentral:piRNA from 1 species
UCAAGACUAGGGUACAAGUCCUCAGGCUC